rnacentral:rRNA from 1 species
AUUAUUGGGCGUAAGGGCUCGCAGGCGGUUUCUUAAGUCUGAUGUGAAAGCCCCCGGCUCAACCGGGGAGGGUCAUUGGAAACUGGGAAACUUGAGUGCAGAAGAGGAGAGUGGAAUUCCACGUGUAGCGGUGAAAUGCGUAGAGAUGUGGAGGAACACCAGUGGCGAAGGCGACUCUCUGGUCUGUAACUGACGCUGAGGAGCGAAAGCGUGGGGAGCGAACAGGAUUAGAUACCCUGGUAGUCCACGCCGUAAACGAUGAGUGCUAAGUGUUAGGGGGUUUCCGCCCCUUAGUGCUGCAGCUAACGCAUUAAGCACUCCGCCUGGGGAGUACGGUCGCAAGACUGAAACUCAAAGGAAUUGACGGGGGCCCGCACAAGCGGUGGAGCAUGUGGUUUAAUUCGAAGCAACGCGAAGAACCUUACCAGGUCUUGACAUCCUCUGACAACCCUAGAGAUAGGGCUUUCCCUUCGGGGACAGAGUGACAGGUGGUGCAUGGUUGUCGUCAGCUCGUGUCGUGAGAUGUUGGGUUAAGUCCCGCAACGAGCGCAACCCUUGAUCUUAGUUGCCAGCAUUCAGUUGGGCACUCUAAGGUGACUGCCGGUGACAAACCGGAGGAAGGUGGGGAUGACGUCAAAUCAUCAUGCCCCUUAUGACCUGGGCUACACACGUGCUACAAUGGACAGAACAAAGGGCUGCAAGACCGCAAGGUUUAGCCAAUCCCAUAAAUCUGUUCUCAGUUCGGAUCGCAGUCUGCAACUCGACUGCGUGAAGCUGGAAUCGCUAGUAAUCGCGGAUCAGCAUGCC